AUUCCUACGGGAGGCAGCAGUGGGGAAUAUUGGACAAUGGGCGAAAGCCUGAUCCAGCAAUGCCGCGUGGGUGAGGAAGGUCUUCGGAUCGUAAAGCCCUUUCGACCGGGACGAUGAUGACGGUGCCCGUAGAAGAAGCCCCGGCUAACUUCGUGCCAGCAGCCGCGGUAAUACGAAGGGGGCUAGCGUUGCUCGGAAUUACUGGGCGUAAAGGGCGCGUAGGCGGCGGCCCAAGUCAGGCGUGAAAUUCCUGGGCUCAACCUGGGGACUGCGCUUGAUACUGGGUUGCUUGAGGAUGGAAGAGGCUCGUGGAAUUCCCAGUGUAGAGGUGAAAUUCGUAGAUAUUGGGAAGAACACCGGUGGCGAAGGCGGCGAGCUGGUCCAUUACUGACGCUGAGGCGCGACAGCGUGGGGAGCAAACAGGAUUAGAUACCCUGGUAGUCCACGCCGUAAACGAUGUGCGCUGGAUGUUGGGGCCCAUAGGGUCUCAGUGUCGUAGCCAACGCGGUAAGCGCACCGCCUGGGGAGUACGGCCGCAAGGUUGAAACUCAAAGGAA
rnacentral:rRNA from 1 species